UCGCACUAGUCGGGGAGAUAGCGGUGCCCUGUACCUGCAAUCCGCUAUAGCAGGGAUGAAUUCCCACACCCGGUCAAGCUUGAGUGCCGUCUGACCUAUGUAAGUGAUGUUGAGGGGACGGUCCGGCGCAACAGAAUCCCGUGAACCAUGUCAGGUGGGGAACCAAGCAGCAUUAAGCGGACUUUUCUGUGUGCCGCCGGUCUGCCGUUCCUGAGUCGGCUGCACAGGUUCGGGCAUUCGGCUUGCUCAAAUGUGGGUGUGCGA
rnacentral:SRP_RNA from 1 species